rnacentral:rRNA from 1 species
ACGAUGCGCCAGUAGAGUGAUCGAAAGAUGAAAAGCACUUUGGAAGAGAGUUAAAAAGUACGUGAAAUUGUUGAAAGGGAAGCGCUUGCAACCAGACUCGGCCGCUUCGGUUCCACCCUACCCGCGUAGGGCUCACUCCGUUGCGGUCGGGCCAGCAUCGGUUCGGGCGGUCGUUUAAAGACGUGGGGAAUGUAGCUCCUCUCGGGGAGUGUUAUAGCCCCGCGUGCAAUGCGACCCGCCUGGACCGAGGACCGCGCUCCGGCAAGGAUGCUGGCUUAAUGGUUGUAAGCGGCCCGUCUUGAAACACGGACCAAGGAGUCUAACAUCUAUGCGAGUGUUCGGGUGUCAAACCCCUACGCGCAAUGAAAGUGAACGGAGGUCGGAGCCCUCGGGCGCACGAUCGACCGAUCCUGAUGUCUUCGGAUGGAUUUGAGUAAGAGCAUAAAUGUUGGGACCCGAAAGAUGUGCGAACUAUGCUUGAGUAGGCCGAAGCCAGCGGAAACGCUGGUGGAGGGUCGCAGCGGUUCUGACGUGCAAAUCGAUCGUCAAACUUGAGUAUAGGGGCGAAAGACUAAUCGAGCCAUCUAGUAGCUGGUUCCUGCCGAAGUUUCCCUUAGGAUAGCAGUAACGUUUUCAGUUUUAUGAGGUAAAGCGAAUGAUUAGAGGCCUGGGGGUUGAAACAACCUUCACCUAUUCUCAAACUUUAAAUAUGUAAGAAGCCCUUGUUGCUUAGUUGAACGUGGGCACUCGAAUGUACCGUUACUAGUGGGCCAUUUU